rnacentral:rRNA from 1 species
UCUUCCGCAAUGGACGAAUGUCUGACGGAGCAACGCCGCGUGAGUGAUGAAGGUUUUCGGCUCGUAAAACUCUGUUGUUAGGGAAGAACNAGUACCGCUCGAAUAGGGCGGUACCUUGACGGUACCUAACCAGAAAGCCACGGCUAACUACUUGCCAGCAGCCGCGGUAAUACGUAGGUGGCAAGCGUUGUCCGGAAUUAUUGGGCGUAAAGCGCGGGCAGGCGGUUUCUUAAGACUGAUGUGAAAGCCCCCGGCUCAACCGGGGAGGGUCAUUGGAAACUGGGGAACUUGAGUGCAGAAGAGGAGGGUGGAAUUCCACGUGUAGCGGUGAAAUGCGUAGAGAUGUGGAGGAACACCAGUGGCGAAGGCGACUCUCUGGUCUGUAACUGACGCUGGGGCGCGAAAGCGUGGGGAGCGAACAG